GAUGAAGAACGUAUUGAAAUGCGAUAAGUAAUGUGAAUUGCAGAAUUCAGUGAAUCAUCGAAUCUUUGAACGCACAUUGCGCCCCCUGGUAUUCCGGGGGGCAUGCCUGUUCGAGCGUCAUUUCACCACUCAAGCCUCGCUUGGUAUUGGGCAACGCGGUCCGCCGCGUGCCUCAAAUCGACCGGCUGGGUCUUCUGUCCCCUAAGCGUUGUGGAAACUUUCGCUAAAGGGUGUUCGGGAGGCUACGCCGUAAAACAACCCCAUUUCUAAGGUUGACCUCGGAUCAGGUAGGGAUACCCGCUGAACUUAAGCAUAUCAAUAAGCGGAGGA
rnacentral:misc_RNA from 1 species